AAAAGGUAUUUCAAAGGCAAAAUACAAACAUAAAAUUCUGAAAAUGUCUACAUAGAAGAGGUGAAUUUUUCGCCUCUGUUAUUUCAGUAAUCAAAUCUGGGUGUAAAAUUUUCACUUCCAAGGCAUUUGCACAGACUCAAGUUGCACUCACUCAUUCAUUCAUUUCUUUGUUCAUUCAGUUAUUACAAUAGGAGCUCUGCGUAUUAAGGGCUAGGUGGGCCUCUUCUAAGUGCUUUACAUGAAUUAAGUCCUGUAAUCCCCAUAAUUGCUCAGUGACUUGGGAACCAUCAUUAUUCCCAUUUUGCCGAUGAGAAAACUGGGAUGUGAACGGAGUCCCCCAAGACUUUUCACUUUUCGUAGAAAAAUGCCUUUGGGAAAGUUUGAUGGUGUUGGAGAGAAGCCACUGUACGUCCUCUUGGAUGGAGCACAAAUGUCGCCUGAGGAGGAGGAGGCACCGCUGCGCACUGCUCACCAGAAGCCCAGGCUCCUGACUAUCUUCAGAGGCAGCUCCAGAGCUUCUCGCGGGAGGGCGUGGGCAGCGCGAUGGCAGAAGUGGGGCAGGAGAGGGGGCGGGUGGGCGCCUUGGGGUGUGCAUGCUGCUUUUACCUAAACUUGAGUGUUGCUGUGUGAUGGUGUGGGGAAGGUUGACACACUGCCCUCAGCCCCCUAUGGGUGUUGUCAUCAUAAAGUGAGAGACAAACAACAUCAGGCCUUGACUCCUGCAAGACAGAAGUGCAGGAAGGAAACGAGGCCAUUUCUGAACGCGCACUCACCCAGUGUUUAGGCAUGGUUUCUUUUUCUCUUGCCUUAAAAAAAGAAUCUAUUGAAUUAAAACAGAAAUGUAGCAGAUAGGUAUAAAACACACAGACACAAGCCCCUGAAUGGAAGGACAAAGGAGCAUGAAGGGGAGGCAGCAACUUAGGAACAAUGUUAUCAAGCAGGUCAAUAUUAUGUCUAAACGUAGCUAUGGCCACAAUCAUCUCUGGGUGUGAGGUAAGUGGAUACUUGUCCAGACACGUUGACUGAGAAUGUUUUAAUCAACUGACACAGGCACUUCUGCUUUCCUUCCAGGGGCUAGAGCUGGCAGGCGGUGCCUGGUGCCUGGUGCCUGCAGGAGAGCUGAGGCUGUCAGCCCAGGGCCUGAGUGCUGUCAGAGGCCUCUACCAUCUGGACAGGAUGGAGCAUGGGGAGAGGAUGACCACAGGAGAACUGGUUUUACUUGGCACUUUGCUCUUUUUCUUGUAAAUCAAGCAGCAGCAGAAAUUAGUCAAGGCUUCCAGAGAAAACUGCGGAGAGGCGAGAAAGCACCAGUGGCCUCUAGCUGGGUCAUCCACCUUCCAUAUUGAGAACCUUGGGCCAGGUGGAAGAUGCUGUCAUCAAUACUCAUCAGCAGAAUGGGCCGCUGCUUCAUUCUGUCCUCUCCCAGCAACUCCAUUACUACAGGAGACUUGGUUCCCAAAGGGGAGCGGCCCACUGAUCUAAUCAUCUUCAUUUCACAUGUUGCUACCUCCUUUGCCUCCUGACCUGAAGGAGAUACUGUUUUGUUUGAGGAGUGAAGAACUAAUCUGAGGUGUGGCCGCUCUUAAGGUAGGGCAGAACCGAGGUCCCCUAGCCCAGCCUGAGGGUCAGAGUGGGGAGACUGCAGGUUCCUCCCAGACGACCCACGGACCCCCACUGCGGGGGCCUUGCAGUCUUUGAAGUACACCAACUGUGAGAUACUGACCUCAAUAUUUACUUAUCAAGAUGACAGCUCUCGAGAAGAUUAAAAACAGCACUGAAGGUUACACAAGAAACAGAAAGCCAUCAAGUCUUCAAAUCCUAAAGGCGCUUAGAGCAGUCUUCCUGACCGAUCGUGACCCCACGGAGGAAUCCUCUCUAACAUCACUGAAUAGUGACCACUCAGUCUCUGAUUGAAUGCUUCCAGUGAUGGGAUGCUUACGGCCUAGCAAGACACAGCAUUUACUGGGUCUGCAGCUUGGAUUGCUGUAAACGUCUUCAUUAGAAUGACCUGAAUUUCCCUGUAACUCCAACUUCCUAGUUCUAAUUCUGCCCUCUGGGGUUCCAGUGAUCUUAAUCUCUCUUUGACCUGUUCCCCCUUUAAACAUUUGAAGACAACUGUAAUGUGUUCAUCUUAUUCAGGCUGGAAAUAUCCAAUCCCUUCAGCUCCUUUUCAUUUGCUGUGACUCCGAAGUUCUUCAACAUUUGGUUUACAGUGGUUUUUCAAGGCAGAAAGAUCAAGAUCUCAUUCUACAGAUGAAUAAGUUUGGCUUCCCUAAGACCCUGGAGAUAGACACAACGGAACAAGAAGGUAAAUAAGGGUGGACUCCAAAAUGCAAAUGGGCCAUGUUUCAAAGGCUUAUUUCUUGAUUAAAUACCUGGAAUUCAGAAAACGUUUUCCCUAGGGGGAGGAAAGCGAUAUAUGCAGUGCAUGACUUUCCUCUUGCUGCGGUAAGAAGUCACCACAGAUUUGAUGAAAACAACGCAAAUUUAUUCUCUUAUGGUUCUGGAGGUCAGAAGUCCCAAUGGGUCUCCCAGGGCUAAUGUCAGGGGGUCGGUGGGGCUGCCUUCCUCCUGGAGGCCCUAGGGGAGCAUUGGUUUCCUCGCCUUUUCCAGCUUCCAGAGGCUGCUGCAUUCCUUGGCUCCUGGCCAGCAGUCCCAUCACUUCCAGCCUCACAUCUCUGACCCUGACCCUCCCGCCUCCCUCGUUCACUCAUAAGAACCCUUGUGAUUCCAGUGGGGCCACCUGGAUUAUCCCGGAUAAUCCCCCCAUCUCAAGACCCUGAAUUUAAUCACAUCUGCAAAGUCGCUUUCCUGUGUAAGGUAACCUAUUCACGGGUUCUGGGCAUUAGGAUGUAGACACCUUUGGGGGCCAUUAUUCAGCUUACGGUACACAUUUACUGGUCCGACAAAACAGUUCAAAGGUUUAUUUAACUCCUAAUGUACUUGAAAUUUUACACAGUAGUUGACAGUUCCUUAUCCUCAACCGCUCGCUCAUUCAUUUUAAAAUCUGUGUAUGUGCCGAUGCCACGUGAGGCACUGUGGCACAAACAGGGGUUUUCUAGGGGGAACGCAUCCAGUUUUCCAGGAGCCCUAGAGCUCUUCUCCUGCCCACUCACUGCUCCUGGGCCCCUGCGGUGCUCGGUUCCCCAGAAGGCAGAGUACAGAUACAUGAGAGGACCCACAAAGCAGGGGCACCAAGAAAAUGAGGGGAAAUGAAAGGAGUUUAUAUUUCAUACUUCAAAAAUAGCAUCCAAGUAGUAGUCAUCAUAAGAAAAAAAACAGAUCUCUGCAGGACUUUCCUUUAGUUUUAAAGAUCUUUUUUGAAGGGGAGGUGGGCCGCCAUAGUUUUCCCAGUGUUUGAGGUUUGGGGCAUCUAAAGUUCUUAAUUUUCCUGGCUCUGAAAUACUUUUGUGGGCUGACACUCUUUCUUUUCUUUAAAAGGACUUCACUUUUUAAGAGCAGUUUUUGCUUCACAGCAAAAUUGAGGGGAAGGUGCAGAGAUUUCCCAUAUACCCGCAGCCGCCACACACGCACAGCCUCCCCCAUUAUUGCCAUUCCCCACCAGAGGGGAGCAUUAGUUACAGCUGAUGAAUUGCACUGACACAUCAUCACACCCCGAGUCCACAGUUACGCUAGGGUCCACUCCUGCUGUUAUACACUCUGUGUUCGGACAAAUGUAUAACGGCAUAUAUCCACAAUUACAAUUUCACUGCCCUAAUACGCCUCCGUGCUCCAGCUAUUCAUUCCUCCCCCCCAACCCUUAACCUCUUUCUUUUCUUCAAGCGAGAAAGACUGGCCCACUUACUCCUUUUCUGCUGCUACCACUUGAUACUUCCCGCCAGGAGACCUCCUCCCUGUCCGGUGGCACCAGCUUCCAGCUUCUCGCGACUAUUCUUGUUUUUCUGGGGCAAGGUUAUCCAGCCUGAGAUGUAUCCUGAUAGCUAUUAAAGGAAACGGAAGCAGUG